CACGCCACAUCCAAAACCGUAUCUUUUCAACUCUCCACCACCACCUUAUUACUCUCCUUCUCCAAAGGAAGACUACAAGUCUCCACCACCACCAUAUGUCUACAACUCUCCACCACCACCGUAUUACUCCCCUUCUCCUAAAGUAGACUACAAAUCUCCUCCACCACCAUACGUCUACAACUCUCCACCACCACCUUAUUACUCUCCUUCUCCAAAGGUAGAAUACAAGUCUCCACCACCACCAUAUGUCUACAACUCUCCACCACCACCUUAUUACUCUCUUUCUCCUAAAGUAGACUACAAGUCUCCACCACCACCAUACGUCUACAACUCUCCACCACCACCUUAUUACUCUCCUUCUCCAAAGGUAGACUACAAGUUUUCACCACCACCAUACGUCUACAACUCUCCAUCACCACCAUAUUACUCUCCUUCUCCUAAAGUAGACUACAAGUCUCCACCACCACCAUACGUCUACAACUCUCCACCACCAC
rnacentral:lncRNA from 1 species